rnacentral:lncRNA from 1 species
CGGCUUUCCUUAGGAGAGCACCUCAUUCACCACAUUCAAUCUAAUGGGAGAUGACUGGAAGGAAAGGCCAUGUCCCAAAAGCCUGGACUUUGAGGCCCAGGGUGUCAGCAGAGACCAGAUUGGAAGUUCAAGCUAUGGCAAUCUGGGAGCCAAGAUCCCAGAUGGAUGGUACAGCCACUCAAUCCAGCAGGGAUGUCCUGAGAAGCCAUGGGACUUGGGCCUCAAGUUUGAGGGACUUUUGGACUUGGGAUGGAACUCUAAAGGAAUAGAGCUUUUCCUUUUUCCCAGUGACUGAGAUGGCACAAGGUGUGGGGGGGAGGGAGAAGAUUAUGCUUUAUACCCUUUGAACCAACUUCUACUGGGUCUGUAUCCCAAAGAGAUCAUAAAAAAGGGAAAAGGACUCACUUGUGCAAAAAUGUUUGAGCAGAUCUUUUUGUAGUGGCAAGAAUUGGGAAAUGAGUAAACACCUAUCAAUUGGGGAAUGGCUGAAUACUUUGUGGUAUAUGAAUAUCAUAGAAUAUUAUUGUUCUGUAAAAAAUGAUGAACAAAAGCCUAGAGAAGUUUACACAAACUGAUACUAAGGAAAACAAGCAGAACCAGAAAUACAUUAUACACAAUACCAGCAAGAAUGCGAUGAUCAACUAUGAAAGGCUUGGUUCUUCUCAGUAGUUCGGUGAUCCAAAGCAAUCCCAAUAAACUCUGGGUAGAAUAUGACAUCCACAUCCAGAGAGAGCGUAUGGAGAUUGAAUGUCUAUCAACACAUAAUAUGUUCACUUUUUUACCUUUUCUUCUGUUUUCUUUUUCUCUCAUGGUUUUUCUCUUUCUUUCUGAUUUUUCUCUCCUAACAUGAUUCAUAAGGAAAUAUGUUUUUAAAUGAAUGUAAAUAAUUUUUAAAAGAAAAAAUCAUGCUUCCCAGGGAUUAUGGAAGUAAGCUUAUAUAUUCAUGAUUAUAGUUUUGAGAUGAUUAUUUUGUAAGCCAAUCUGACUGUUGGUGUCUAAAUAGAACUGGGGUAUAGGGGACUAUUCCUAAAACUGAGGAAACAGUAUUGUAGGGACUAAAAUCAUUGUCAGCCUAGAUACCUAUCAUCUCUAUAAAGCAUACAAGAGAACCCUGAGUUUGAGGUGAAACCUUCUACAAAAUGAUAACCAAGGCUACAAAGAUAGUUUUGUUAGGAAGGUACUAGAAUCUAGGAGUAGCAGAAAAGUUUCAUUUAUAGUAGAUGGCACAUGAAUAGAGACUUGAAGAAAACUAUAAUAUAAAAUAUAAAGAGAAUGAGGUAAGAAAGUAAUGGAUUCUGAACAAAUGCAGAUAGAGAUGGGAGAGACAAUGAUGGGUAGUUAACUAUGAGUGGAUUGUAGUGUGUGUUUGCAGAAGAAUAAUGCAUAAAAAUAUCAUAAAGGUAGUUUGGGGAUAGGCUUAAAUGCUGCACAUAAGAGUUUGUACUUGAUCCUAGAGAUAAUAGGGAGCCAUUGGAACUUAUUUUGCAACAUGCUCAGACAAUGCUUUAGGAAAAUUAGGAAAUAGUUUCAAUAGUCCCCUGAGUGAUGAGGAAAAACUGAACUGAAAUGGUGGCUGUAUGGACAGUGAGAAGAGCAGGAAUGUAAGAGAUGGUAGAGACAAUAGGAUUUGGCAGUUGAUAGUGACUGUACGAACAGUGAGAAGAGCAGGAAUGUAAGAGACGGCAGAAACAAUAGGAUUUGACAGUUGAUGGUAUAUGUGAGAUGAGUGAAAGUGAAUUGUUGAGGAUGACACUUAGGUUGCAAACCUGGGUCCCUGGAAGGGUAUCCACAGAGACUUAUGGAACUUUCUUUAAAGUCAGACUAUUUCCUGACUUGGCACGCCCCAUUGUGUACUCCCCUUUUCAAUUCUCAGAAUUAUUCUUUUGCUUUUAAUCACCCUCCUCUAUCUAUUCCUGGAACUAUUUCUUUCAAUGCUUGUAUAAUAAAUCCAAUCCCAUUAAGAUCACUAUUCCCAGAAAAAUAAUGCUUACCCUGCUUCCCAUGCCAUUCUAAUUUUGUGCUUUAAUUAUUUGCUGUACUUUAGUGUUGAUCAACUUUUUUGGAGCAUUAUCUCAAGGACACGCCCUAAUCUAAAAGACCUCAAAACAUUCUGUAAUGCUUGCGUAUGAUUGGAUUGUUGUGUAAUAUUGAAGGUUGAUUGGUCUAAGACUUGAGUUUUGUGACUCAUGUUACUAUAAACUACACAAAUGCCCACACUUACAGUCACCUUGUCUUAAAAGAGGUCUUGAACAAAGUUAAGAGAAGAAAAGAGUCUCCAGUGGUAGCCAGCUGUAUCACAAUUGAGAAUAUAACACCAUCAAGAGCAGUAAUAUUGCAUCUUUUAGUUAUCCAAAUGUGAAGGUUGCCUGAAGUGAAGUAUAUAACAUGUUUUUGUUGGAGCCUAUAAAACAUCCUUGGUCAACUGAGUGGUGAAUGUUAACUCUGUCCUUGGAUCAGACUUAAAUUAGAAUACAAAGUCUUAAACUAGCAUACUUCCCAGGACCAUGUUUUUCAUUUUCCAUAAUCCAAGCUAAUAAAUUUGAUAAAUGAAUUGGUGCUGAAGUAUAAAGAGAUACUAAUAGGUUGAAUCUGAUGCCCCUCAGAUAAUAUAUUUGCAUUUCCUCAGGAGUCUAUUAAUCUAUUUAGAUUCUAAUGGGUGAUUAAUAUUAGAGGCAUAAUACUUUGGUACUGUUCUUUGCAUUUGCUUUUAAAUAUAAAAUUCCUGUCAAUAGGGGAGAAGGAGUGAUGUAGAAAUAUCAGUCGAUAUUAUUAGGACAAUGGAAGUGAUGUUUUUAUAAGAAAAAAAAAAACCAACUUUGAUGAGUUGUACAGUCCACCUUAGCAACUGUCAUAGGCAGAAAGAUGUAAGUUCUAUCCCUCCUGUUGUGAAUCAUAUUGUAAUAAUCCUUCCUGACUACAGUAUGAUUGUGUGGAAUAUUCUACAAUCUCUCUUACUAAAAUCAAGGUUUAUCAACUAUCCCAGUAGAAAGAUCUUCCUAAUAUCCCUAUCAAUUUAAGUAAAAUUUGUUUACUUUUAUUUUGUUCUCAGAAAGAUGUAGGAAAAAGCCAACAAAAAACUUUGGGCCUUCUCAGUAGGGCUAUGAGCCAUCCCCAGUCUCUUCUCCCUUCAUUACUUACAAUACAAAAUCCCUGCCCCUAAGUAUCCUCUUUUUUUAAGAUAAAUAAAUCUUGUAUUUGAGUCCUUCUUUCUAAAUUUUAUUUUCCUAUUUUUAUCUCUUUAAAUGAGAGGCAGCAUGCUGUGGUAAAUAGAGGGAUGGCUUUUGAUAGAGAAUGACCUGGAUUCGAAUUCUACUUCUAAUAUAUACUAGCUGAAUGAUCAUAGAGAAGUCAUAUAUCAAGUCAACUACCUACGGUCAUUAUCCACAAGAACACUUAAGGAAUUCCCUCUACUUCUAUUCAAUCAACUUGUUUUCCUCAUUCUUGGGUAAUUAAGUAGUGCAGUGGAUAGAGUAUCAGACUUGAAAUCAGAAAAACUCAUCUCCCUGAGUUCAAAUUUGGCAUGAGACACUUGCUAGUUGUGUGGCCCUAGCCAUUUAACCCUGUUUGUCUCAGUUUCCUCAUCUGUAAAAGGAGCUGAAUAAGGAAAUGAUAAACCACUCCAGUUUCCUUGCCAAGAAAAUCCCAAAUAAUAUCAUGAAGAGUUGGACACAACUGAAAGGAAUGAAUAACUCCCCUCCUCUGAAGAAUAAUAUAUGUAUAGAUAAUCCUUUGCUCCUAACUCUGCUAGGAAAUCACUUUGUUACUUUAGACAAAAUACUUUUUCUCUUGAGUUUUCAUUUCCUCAUCUUUUAAAAUUAUUGAUUUGAACUAGAUAGUCUCUUAGAUGCCCCCCAGUUCUAAUCCUGUGACUAAGUCUAUAACACUGUGGAUUGACUUGGGCAAAAUGUUGGCUUCUGUCUAAAUUUAAUUAUCAUUUGAACACUCUCAUAGUGGUAGUUGGGUUUUGAUCAUUAAAUAAGAACUAAUUUUGCUAUCAGCUGAUUUUUGAUCAUGAAAUAUAAAUUGACUGAAACAUAAAUAGUUUAAGGAAAGGGCACAGUAAUGAACACAGAAUAGAAAGUCAACUCUUUUUGUAAAAAGUUAACAUAUACAUCACAAAGCUCUAAAUAAAUUUAGAAUGGCUUAAUACCACUUCUUGGUGUAAAAGAACAAUGGUAAAAUAUGUUGAUAUGUCCUUGAGACUUCUCUGUAGUACUAGAAUCGAGAACCAGUCUCUUCUCCCUUAGUUACUUGUAACACAAAAUUCUUACUCCUGAGUCUUUUCUUUUGUAGGAUAAACUCUUUACUUUAGUCCCUAACUUUUAUUAUUAUAUAAAUGAACAUCAUCAACAAUGUUUUAUGUGUGUGUGUGUGUGUGUGUGUGUGUGUGUGUGUGCAUGUAUUUAACAAAUCUGAAUACUAACUACAAAGGACUUUUAAUAAAUUACUUGUAUAUUAUUGCUCAACUUCUAUUACUUCAGUAUUAUUUUAAAUGUUUUGCUGAUGAUUCUCUUUGGGUGUGUUUCUGUCUGUCUCUCUGUGUGUCAGUUGCAAAUGAUUCCCAUUUCAAAACCAAUGGAACAUUCCUUUGUAACAAAGAAAUAUAUUUUAAGAAAAAACACCAACACCAAUACAUUUACCAUGCAUGAAAAUAUGCUUCAUUGCAUAUUAUAGUCUAUGUCUCUAAUAAGAGAAGACAAGUCUACUUUACAAGCCUUUUGAAGUCAUGAUUAAUCACAGCAUUGAUCAAAUUUCUGAUGUCCUUUGAUGUUGUUUUUACCUUAUAUUAUUGUGGUCAUCCUUUCAAUUAUUCUCCUGCUUCUGCCUACUUUGCUCUUCAUCAGUUCGUAUAAGUCUUCCUAAGUUCCUCUAAAUUCUUCCUAUCCAAUGUUUUCAUUGGAGCAAUAAUAUUCCAUUACAUUCAUAUGCCAAAUUUAUUCAACUAUUCUCCAAUUGAUGGGCACUCUCUUUGCUUUCAGUUCUUUGCUACUGCAAAAAGAAAUCUAAUAAAUAAGAUUGUGCAGGUAAACACUGUCUUGCAAAGGAAUACAUACAAUGUAUAACACUCUUUUAAGUUUAAUCUAUAUUAACAUUUUCUCCUCACUUUCUUAACUCUAGACAAUUUACAAAACAAUAAAACCCAGAUCUGAAGCAUUUGCCUAUUUCUGAGGUACAUAAACAAAACCAAUACAAUCAGGAUUAGAAAGAAAGUUCAAAGGUAGGAAACAAUUUUACAGCAAGUGUUUCUGAUAAAUAUAUAGAGAACUGAGUCAAAUUUGUAAGAAUACAAGUCAUUUCCCAAUUGACAAAUGGUUAAAGAAUAUGAACAAGCAAGACCAUAAAAAUGAUCUAAAUCAUUACUGAUUAGGGAAAUGCUGAUUAAAACAAAUUUAAGAUACUACUUCAUGCCCAUCAGACUAAUAUGACAGUAAAGGUGGGAAAAUUGGGAUGUUAGUGCAAUGCUGGUGGAGUUAUCAACUGAUCUGACCAUUCUGAAGAGUAAUUUGGAACUAUGUCCAAAGGGCAAUCAAAUUGUGCAUAUCCAUUGAUUCAACAAUACCACUACUGCUAGGUCUGUAUCACAAAGAGAUAAAAGAAAAGAGACAAGGACAUACAUGUGUGUGAAGACCGCGUAUUUUAAAAUCAGCUGGAGUCAGGAAUUCAGGUUAGGGGGAAAUCGUCAGUCUUUAUUCUCAGUGAAGAAAGACCGGAGGUGGAAGAGAAUGAGCAAUGGCAAUAUGUGUAGCUGAGUCAAGAAGCUAGCUAGACCAGCAGCUACGAGCAUGGAACCCAGGCUCAAUCUCUCCCAGCUUCUCUUCCUGUCCCUCUGCCUCCACCCACCAAAAUCGUCAUUUCCUAUACAACACAUUAGGACUGGCACGGAGAAUGGGCGGGGGCCAUUCUUUAUCCAAUCAUGUAUAUUAAUAGAGUAUAGUCCAAUUACUAUUUAGCCUCACGUGCUUGGGACCUCAGUGCAUCAACUCAAGCCUCAGCCCAUUACACAUGUGCAAAAAUAUUUAUAGCAGCUCUUUUUGUGAUGGAAAAAAAGUAGAAAUUGAGAGGAUCCCCUUCAACUGUGAGAUGGUUGAACAAGUUAUAGUAUAUAAACAUUGUGCUAUAAAAAUUGAUGAGCAGGCAGAUUUCAGAAAAACCUGAGAAGAAUUAACGUGAACUGAUGCUAAGUGAAGCAAAGCCAGGAGCACGUUGUACACAAUUACAGCAACACUGUGUGAUGAUCAACUAUAAUUGACUUAGCUCUUCUUAACAAUAUAAUGAUUCAAGAUGCAGAUUACCAUCUAUUUGGGUAAAAUAUGCGUUGAUUUUUCUUACUGUUGUUGCUAAUUUUUUUGUAUUCAGAAUAAUGUUUUACUGUGUCAGUUUUGAAUUUGUUAUCAUGACAAGUAAUUUAAUACUCAGGUUUAACUUCACUUCAGAUGUUUCCAUUUAUUGUAACUAGUUGGAAGUAAAAAUGAGCCAGAGAAAUAAGAUAUUAUUGAAAAAUUCAUUCACAAGUCCACUUGCUAGUAUCCCAAAGAAAUGAAAAAUAAAAUAAAUUUUCUAUAUAUAACAUAAUAAUCAUAAAGUCAUUUCUUGCAGUAACAAAGAGCUAAAAACAAAAUACUUACCCAUUGAUUAGAAAAUAACUAAAUAAGUUUUUGGUACAUCAAUAUAAAAAAAAUUACAAUGCUACAAGAAAGAAUGAAUAUGAUGAAUACAGAAGAACAUGAGGAGAUAUAUUAGCUGAUGCUAAGUGAUGUAAUCAGAUCCAGAGAUACAACAUAUACUAUGAUCACAAACAACACUUGUAAAUAGGAGCAACAACUACUAUAACAUCAAAAUAGAAAGUGAAUGGUGAUACAACGAAUGGAGAGAACCCUGGACCUAGAAUCAGGAAAAACUGAGUUAAAACUCAGUUUCAGAUGCUAACUCAGUGACCUUGAGCAAAUAACUUAACCUCUUUCUGCCUCAGUUUCUCCUUCUGUAAAAAAAAACUUCCAAGC